CCAUAGCUCAGUUGGCCAGAGCACGUGAUUUGUAAUCUCGGGGUCGUGGGUUCGAAUCCCUCUGCCG
rnacentral:tRNA from 1 species